GUACAGGGACGCUUUAGAAGUGAUGUUGCCGGGCGAUGGUUGACCCGGUCGUAAGGGAUCGAAAAUGAGUAGAGAAGUCAUCAUGGAAAGAGACAAGAAAAGCUGUAUGAAUAUCUUAGGUGCCCGUACCGCAAACCGACACAGGUAGAUAGGAAGAAGAUUCUAAGGCCAACGGGAGAAGGGUUGUUAAGGAACUCGGCAAGUUGACCCCGUAACUUAGGGAUAAGGGGUGCUCAAGUGAUUGAGCCGCAGAGAAUAGGCCCAGGCGACUGUUUAGCAAAAACACAGGUCUCUGCUAAAUCGAAAGAUGACGUAUAGGGGCUGACACCUGCCCGGUGCCGGAAGGUUAAGAGGAGAUGUGAGAGCAUUGAAUUGAAGCCCCGGUAAACGGCGGCCGUAACAAUAACGGUCCUAAGGUAGCGAAAUUCCUUGUCAGGUAAGUUCUGACCCGCACGAAAGGUGUAACGAUCUGGGCACUGUCUCAACAACCCGCCCGGCGAAAUUGUAGUACCGGUGAAGAUGCCGGUUACCCGCGACUAGACGGAAAGACCCCAUGGAGCUUUACUGUAGCCUAAUAUUGGAUUUCGGUAUUUCACGUACAGGAUAGGUGGGAGACUGGGAAGCACAGGCGUCAGCUUGUGUGGAGUCGACCUUGGGAUACCACUCUUGGAGUGCUGGAAUUCUAACCUGCGGCUUUGAAGCAAGUCGGGGGACAUUGUUAGGUGGGCAGUUUGACUGGGGCGGUCGCCUCCUAAAGAGUAACGGAGGCGCUCAAAGGUUCGCUCUGCAUGGAUGGAAACCAUGCGUCAGAGUGUAAACGCAAAAGCGAGCCUAACUGCGAGAAUGACGGUUCGAGCAGUAACGAAAGUUGGAGUUAGUGAUCCGGCGGUAUGUGAAUGGAAAUGCCGUCGCUCAACGGAUAAAAGCUACCCUGGGGAUAACAGGCUGAUCUCCCCCAAGAGUCCACAUCGACGGGGAGGUUUGGCACCUCGAUGUCGGCUCAUCGCAUCCUGGGGCUGAAUUCGGUCCCAAGGGUUUGGCUGUUCGCCAAUUAAAGCGGUACGCGAGCUGGGUUCAGAACGUCGUGAGACAGUUCGGUCCCUAUCUGUCGUGGGCGUAGGAUAUUUGCAAGGAGCUGUCCCUAGUACGAGAGGACCGGGAUGGACGCACCUCUGGUGCACCAGUUGUCACGCCAGUGGCACAGCUGGGCAGCUAUGUACGGAACGGGUAAACGCUGAAGGCAUCUAAGCGUGAAGCCGCCCUUAAGAUAAGAUAUCCCUUCUGUUUACAGAGUAAGACCCCUUGAAGACUACAAGGUUGAUAGGCUCAAAGUGUAAGCACGGUGACGUGUUUAGCUAGCGAGUACUAAUCGGUCGAGGGCUUAACCG
rnacentral:rRNA from 1 species